CAUAUGAUGCAUACUCUGGUUUGUGAUAGUGUAACAUCUUGGAAGUUUCCUGAAUAUGUGUGGAGGACAACUUAGUUAUUUAUUUUGACUUUUUGAGCAUUUCAAGUUCAAUUAAAAUUUUUAUUUUAUUUUAUAUUUGUAAUUAAAGAUGAAUUGAAAGUGAUUGGCAAUUGCUUCCUACUGGAACAUAAAGUACUCUACAGUUUGAUACUUUCAAGGUGCUUUUCCUGUGUAGGUGUCUCCUUGUCCUGACCUCAUUCUAGAAAAUCCUGGUGAAAGCUUUGUGGCCAGCCAUCAGCAAUAUUGAGUUUGUGAUCCAGUUAGUAUAAUGAAUCUUUAUUAAAACAAGGAUGAUUGAUAAAACUACAAGGGAUGUGGAAUGAGGUUCAAAGCCUUUCCUCUAGCCAAGAUAACACUACUCUGAUACCUAUUGUCAUUUUAUGAUUUUAUCUUUUUUUUUUUUUUUUUUUUUUUCUGUAGUCUCUGCCUCUGAUUCAAGUUCUUAUUCAUAGGUGUGUGUUUGUGUCUAUAAUAUCUAUAUAUUGUGUUUUCAUAUUUGUGGCUUAGAUAUGAAUUAAACUCCCGGAUAUCCUCUUUUGGUACUAUUUGGUUCAAUGAUAUGCAGAUUCUGUUUAUACUCUUAGUUAACCUUUUUAACAUAACUGCUUUUUUUUCUAGUUGUUCUAGUGAUUUAAGACUUCUAUUAGAUGUUAUAUUGGACAGGAGCUACCCUGUUGACCAUCAAGGGAACCAGUUAACUCAGUUUCAGCAGCUACCUAAAUGAAGCAGAAGUGGCAGCAGCUGAAUAACAGAAAGCAACUAAUUUGUUUGAUACCAUUCUCACGUAAUGCAGGUUGCUUUUAGAAAAUUGCAGUGCAUUAUACCCCAUUGUAGAAAGAUAUUUUGAAUGGUGUGUCAGCUAGUUUUAUCUGAGAUAUUGAUUGAGAAAAAUUGUAAUUACAAUUAUUUUGCAUAGUUUGUAUGAAAACUACUAGAUUUUUGGUUGGUU